UACGUAGGGGGCAAGCGUUGUCCGGAAUAAUUGGGCGUAAAGAGCGUGUAGGCGGCCCGAUAAGUCCGCUGUGAAAGUCCAGGGCUCAACCCUGGGAUGCCGGUGGAUACUGUCGGGCUCGAGUCCGGAAGAGGAGUGUGGAAUUCCUGGUGUAGCGGUGAAAUGCGCAGAUAUCAGGAGGAACACCAAUGGCGAAGGCAGCACUCUGGGACGUGACUGACGCUGAGACGCGAAAGCGUGGGGAGCAAACAG
rnacentral:rRNA from 1 species